GACGAACGCUGGCGGCGUGCUUAACACAUGCAAGUCGAACGCUGAAGCUCAGCUUUUGUUGGGUGGAUGAGUGGCGAACGGGUGAGUAACACGUGAGUAACCUGCCUCCUCUUUGGGAUAACGCCCGGAAACGGGUGCUAAUACUGGAUAUUCACUGGUCUUCGCAUGGGGGUUGGUGGAAAGGGGUUUUCUGGUGGGGGAUGGGCUCGCGGCCUAUCAGCUUGUUGGUGGGGUGAUGGCCUACCAAGGCUUUGACGGGUAGCCGGCCUGAGAGGGUGACCGGUCACAUUGGGACUGAGAUACGGCCCAGACUCCUACGGGAGGCAGCAGUGGGGAAUAUUGCACAAUGGGCGCAAGCCUGAUGCAGCGACGCCGCGUGAGGGAUGGAGGCCUUCGGGUUGUGAACCUCUUUCGCUCAUGGUCAAGCCGCAACAAUGGUUGUGGUGAGGGUAGUGGGUAAAGAAGCGCCGGCUAACUACGUG
rnacentral:rRNA from 1 species